GACUUGGGUCAGAUGUUUGAACUCUUUGUUGAAUUGAGCCUCCGUCUACGUGUCAAUCUCAUUGGGUAAUUAGAGCUUCCAUUUUUAGCAGAAUAAUAUCUGCCAAUUAAGUACUACCUUUUUUUUUUCCAAAAAUUUUAUGUAGUUUCUUUUCUCUUUUAUUUUUGUUAUCUGAUCUUUAGCUAAAGUUUAUCUCUUUCUUUUUUUUCGGAUUUCUAUUUCUGUUUUGACUUUUUCUAGUUCUAAUUUUCUGGACUCCAACGACUGGAAAUACAGCUUGUGCAGUAACUGAGAUGUUGUUCUAUCUGUGGAUCACUUUUUUCUUGAAUAAGGAUGAACUUAGAAAUUAUAUGAAUAUGAAAGAAAAAUACUUAAAAUUUGGAGCCAAGCAGAGCUAGGAUUUGAGACUUAUGUGUUCUGGAUUCUAAAUCUUUUAAGUUAUUAUGUUCUAAAUUAAUAAACAUAUUCAAUAAAUUUCUUAAGAUAAAUAUAUGGUUCACACCAAAGCUACUAGGUUCGGCCAAACCCGUAAGUUUUGCUUUCCCUCCGGCUUUGGAUCCAAGACAUUUAAUUGAGUACUAAUAAGGAAUCUAAGUAAAGCAACAUCUUCAAUUGUGAAUUUGUUGAGAUGUGACAACAUUGAAGAAAGUUUGAGGUAAUGUUUUGUUUUAAUCUACUGUGCAUGCUAUGGUCAAACAUGUCUCUGGAACAUAUUUUCAUGGGUAUUCAAUGUCUCAAUCAGUAUUGAUGCUCUUUGCAGAGAAUCUGGAAUAUAAGCACGGGUCUUCCUGAUAUCUUUUUGAGGAAGAUACUCAGUAAAAUGUUAUGUUCAUCAAAAUUU
rnacentral:lncRNA from 1 species